GAUCAUGGCUCAGGACGAACGCUGGCGGCGUGCCUAACACAUGCAAGUCGAACGGGGUUACACGAGGUGCUUGCACCAUGUGGAACCUAGUGGCGGACGGGUGAGUAACGCGUGAGCAACCUGCCUUUCAGAGGGGGAUAACAACGGGAAACCGUUGCUAAUACCGCAUAAUACCGGAUGAUGGCAUCAUUGACCGGUCAAAGGAGCAAUCCGCUGAAAGAUGGGCUCGCGUCCCAUUAGGUAG
rnacentral:rRNA from 1 species